GCUCAGGAUGAACGCUGGCGGCGUGCCUAAUACAUGCAAGUCGAGCGAACGGACGAGAGUGCUUGCACUCUUUGAUGUUAGCGGCGGACGGGUGAGUAACACGUGGGUAACCUACCUAUAAGACUGGGAUAACUUCGGGAAACCGGAGCUAAUACCGGAUAAUAUUUUUCUCUGCAUGGAGGAAUAGUGAAAGACGGUUUUGCUGUCACUUAUAGAUGGACCCGCGGUGUAUUAGCUAGUUGGUGAGGUAACGGCUCACCAAGGCAACGAUACAUAGCCGACCUGAGAGGGUGAUCGGCCACACUGGGACUGAGACACGGCCCAGACUCCUACGGGAGGCAGCAGUAGGGAAUCUUCCGCAAUGGACGAAAGUCUGACGGAGCAACGCCGCGUGAGUGAAGAAGGUUUUCGGAUCGUAAAACUCUGUUGUAAGGGAAGAACAAGUACGUUAGUAACUGAACGUACCUGAC
rnacentral:rRNA from 1 species